rnacentral:lncRNA from 1 species
GCAGCAGCAGACCCCCUUCUCUGCCGCCUUUCGGUAAGCCUCCCCCUGCCCCGCAUCUCUGCCCUCCUGCGCCACCCUGGCUCCUUGCUGGGGCAGCUCAGCAGCGCGGGGCCCGCCCGCCAUGGUGGCACUGGGAAGGAGGUCCAUUCUCAAAGAGAAAACUUCCAGAAUUUCAAUGACCUUCAGCAAAGUGAAUGGCGUGGCAGUUCGGGGAGCCCAUCCCCCUCCCCGCAGGGAAGCAUUCUGGGUGGUGGAGGGCCCUUCUCCAGGGCCUGGGUCUGCUUCCAAGAAGAAAGAGCCGGGAUCCAAGAGACAGGCAGAGAAGGGGCCUGGAAAGGGGGUGCUGUGCAGUGAACCCAGAGCUCUCCCCUGAGCCCGCAGUGCCCACUGCCCAGUGGUCGGCAAGGCCAGCCAGGUGCUGUGUGGCCCCGCUGAGAUGGCCCGUGUUCCCAUGGCAGGAUCAGUCCCAAGGCCAAUGUGGUGACAGCGCCCCCAGUGUCCCUGAUGGGCAGUGCUGUGGGGUGGGCACUUACUUGACCACCAACACCGGUGCCUGGAAUAAUCCUGCUCUGCACGUGUUUGUUGACAGAAGAGGGAGAGGCGGAGGAGGAAGGACUCAGCGAGCCUCUUCCACACCGGUCCCCACAAGAGCGGGCCCCUGGAGUGCUCUCUCCCUCCUCGUGUCCUAGGGCAGGUGGCUGAAGGAGCCCGGAAGUCCCCUUCCCCACACCUGAGCAGCUGGAAUGGAGGUAAGACCCUCUGGCGGCAGGGGGGGGCGGGGUUGCACAGGAAGCCCUGGGGUCACCUCUACCUCUUGGCCCCCACAGUCCUGGCCGGAGGGCGUUCGGAGCUCUCCUCCCUCCAUUUCUGGGCCAGGCCAUCGGGCACCGGGCAGGCCCCGGGAGCCUUAUGAGCCGCACACUCUGCCCUGUUGCCCUCAGAGGCUGAGGCUCUCCGGCUCCCUGCGGUUCUGAGAACUGAACGUGUUUUCCCCAUCUGAUGUGGCAAGAGGCCACUCGUGUCCAGCGGUAGCCGGCCCUCCGACCGCAGCAAGAACAGGGGUAACCCCCUGGGUGGAGCGGACCGGCCGGGGCCCCCCCGAGAGCCAAUGACUUCUCCCUCCUGACCCGUCCCCCCCCAUCAGCUCAGCUCAGCUCAUCAAAGCGGCCUCCUCCUCCAGGCCCCUGGCUCCCUGCUCUGCUUCCUCCUGCAUCUCGAAAGAACCUUCCCAGAGCACAGAUGGGACCGUGCACCUCCUCUGAUUUAAAACCUCCCUUUGAUCUUCUGGGGAAAAAAAAACGGUGCACUCAGAACGCACAGAUGAUACUCCUUAUCGAAAACAAGCUGUUCCGGGCACCACUGCCUUAGCAGAGCGCGUAACCGACUUGUCCAAGGUCACAGGGCUGGUGACCGCCUCCACUGGGAUUUGAAAAGAAUUCCAAACUCAUGACAGUCGAGGCCAGCUGUCACGGGGCCCCUCCAGCGUCUCCCCUGCCUCCCAGGGAGUGGGGAUGCCCCAAAAGGCAGGGCGCGUCCCGCCAUCAUGCUUUUAGCCUCUGCCAAGAACGCUUUCUCACCUGUUGGAGGUUUCCCCACCUCCAGUACCCAGCACGAAGCCACCCCUCAGCGUCUCAUGACCCUGGAAUCCAUCGACGACACACCUGCCUCCCACUGUCUUUGCAUAUGGUUGUUUCUGCCCACCUCUCGUCCCCCUCAGAGGGCAGAGGCUGGUGCGACAUUUCCCUCCGUGUCCUCACAGACCCGCGAUAAGGUGGUGGCUCCAGGAUGGGUGUCCCCACCACCACCGCCGUCUCCACCGUGCUGUCACGACCACGAGGCUCUGGACGCGGGAGAGCACGGCUCCCCCCAGAGCACGGACAGCCCCCUCCCCAACAUUUGACUUCCCUCUGGGUCAGAGGUCAAGUAGGCAGAAAGGCAGCAGAAAGCCGAGUUGGGGAAGUGCCUGGCACCAGAGUCUCCGGGUGGCAGAGUGGGUCCUGGGGCUGGCAGGUCACCAAGCAGAGCACCAUUUGUUCCCAAACAGAGUGACUCAGACCUGAUUCGUGCCCCAGCACCUCCCACCGCGGGGACCCGUGACGACCAGUGCCUGCUUCCUGGGAUUCCUGUGCACAGGCUGUGCCCGUCUGCCCCGUGGAGCAAAGGAGGGGUUGGGGGUGUGGGCACCUGGAGAGUCACGGUUUCCAGGGAUGCCCUGGGGCAGUGCUCCUUACCCUUGGCUUCUCAUUCUUGGCCACACGAGCACCUGGGAGUGCAAAACAGGUGGUCAAGCCUGGGCCCCCGGACCGAGUUGGGGGUCAGAACAUCAGGGGACCCACGUAUGGCCUUUCUCAGCAGCUCUCUGGUGCUUCAGUCAUGUGGCUGAUACGGGAAUCACUGGGCUCCAGGGGCGCCUGGAUGCCAUCUGAUCGAUUUUGGCUCGGGUCAUGAUCUCACAGUUUGUGAAUUCAAGCCUCAAGUUGGGCUCCACUCUGACAUCGUGGAGCCUGCUUGGGAUUCUCU